UACGAAGGGGGCGAGCGUUGUUCGGAUUUACUGGGCGUAAAGGGCGCGCAGGCGGCUCAUUUUGUCAGGCGUGAAGGCCCCGGGCUUAACCUGGGAACUGCGUUUGAUACGGAUGGGCUAGAGUUCGGGAGAGGAGAGUGGAAUUCCCAGUGUAGAGGUGAAAUUCGUAGAUAUUGGGAAGAACACCGGUGGCGAAGGCGGCUCUCUGGACCGAGACUGACGCUGAGGCGCGAAAGCGUGGGGAGCAAACAGG
rnacentral:rRNA from 1 species